UUAAAUCACCCAGGCAGAAUGGCUUACUUAAUUACCUAAUCCUCCAGUGUUUUUUGCAGAGACAGUAACCUGCUGUGCCGUGCUCUUCUUGAGCUUUAAUAAGAUCCUUAUGGAAAGGGCCUGACCCAAAGGCGGCCUGGGGGAUUGAAAAGGAGCACUUGAAGAUACUGACUGACAUUGCAUCCUUGCCUUGUUGCCUGCUUGCCGUGAGCUCUUCGGCAAGUCACUUAACCUCUCCAGGCCACAGUUUUCUCAUCUGUAUAAUGAGGAGAUCCGGGCCAGAUGAUCUCUCGAGCACCCACCAGUCCAAGUUUUCUCUGCAACCAGGAGACCUAGGAGACCCUUUAGCCCAGUCCUCUAACACUUAGAGGCUGGGAGCCUCCAAGAAGCGGAAGGACAGUACAAGGUUACAGGAAUCAGACAGGAGACCACAAGGAGAUGUAAUUAACCGUGUUCAGCCUUUGCUGGGCGGCAGCCGAGAGGAAAAACCCUAACAGGUAACUAAAGAAUAUGUAUACAGGGAUUCUGGCUAAACUCAAAAGGGUUACCCAUCUUCUGUGGGAUCUCAACAGCUCCAUUUAUGUGCGAUGGAAAUAAUGUAGUUGCUUACUCUUCCGUGAUCCAAAGGAGGAAAUAAGAAUUCAUUCAUGAAAUUAAAGGUAGAAUAAUCAUUCACAUAGGGACCCUGUUUUAAAGCUGCUUAGUAAUUAAGACUGAUACCUUCCUUAAUGACAGAUAUGGGAGAGCAGAUUUUUCCUGUAUCUAGUUGGUAUGUUUAAGGUACUUAAAUUGAUGUCCCUAGUAAUAGCCGUCUUCAUCAAAAGGUUAGUAAAAACCCAUGACCUUCCAAGCACUGGAGGCUUGUCCCCAGGGAUUCUCCAUCUUUCCUUUAAUAUACUUACUUCAGUUUUUCCCAGGUCUCUUCACCAAAUUUCUCUAUCACAAGAGACUGAAGACAGGUGUUGAUAAAUCCAUACUAGAACACAAAACGAGAGGGAAAAUAGGGAUAAUGAAGCAUGAAAUCCCCAGUCGUCGACAUCUGAAUGGUGUCUUUUAGGAGAACUGCAAAGUCAUCUUCUGGAAGAAAUGAAUUACACCUUUUCCCUGUUUCUCCUGAGUUUACUUCUUUGAUAGUUAUGCUUUUUCUCCCAAC